CACACCAAUGCGCCGGGCAGCCGCCAUCCGAAGCGCUACAUGGAUGUCGAGGAACUUCUGGACAACGGCAUCGAUGUCUACACCGCCGUCAACAUCCAGCACAUCGACGACGUUGUCGCACAGAUCACGCGCGUACGCGUGCGCGAGACCGUGCCGGAUUCCAUCAUCGACCGUGCCGACGACAUCGAACUGGUCGAUCUGA
rnacentral:misc_RNA from 1 species